GAAGUCUUGAUGCGAGCACGCCGCGUGAGUGAAGAAGGGUUUCGGCUCGUAAAACUCUGUUGUUAAAGAAGAACAUAUCUGAGAGUAACUGUUCAGGUAUUGACGGUAUUUAACCAGAAAGCCACGGCUAACUACGUGCCAGCAGCCGCGGUAAUACGUAGGUGGCAAGCGUUGUCCGGAUUUAUUGGGCGUAAAGCGAGCGCAGGCGGUUUUUUAAGUCUGAUGUGAAAGCCUUCGGCUCAACCGAAGAAGUGCAUCGGAAACUGGGAAACUUGAGUGCAGAAGAGGACAGUGGAACUCCAUGUGUAGCGGUGAAAUGCGUAGAUAUAUGGAAGAACACCAGUGGCGAAGGCGGCUGUCUGGUCUGUAACUGACGCUGAGGCUCGAAAGUAUGGGUAGCAAACAGGAUUAGAUACCCCUAGUAGUCAA
rnacentral:rRNA from 1 species